UCCAGUGUUCAAUUCAGGACAGUUUUCCUGUUCUGUUAAUUUAAAUUUUGGAUAUUGAAACUUAGACUAAGGGGGGUGAUUGGGUAGAAGUACUACUCUAUUAAAUUACUUCCCAAGCUACAAAA
ensembl:snoRNA